UCAGCAGCCAGGACGAGGGCCUUGGGGAAGGACAGGAGGGGAGGGGACAGCAUGCCAACCUUCAAGGAGACAGCAGGUCGGAAAACAUCCUGCGACUGGCUGCCCGCUGCCUGCCUUAGCCACAGGGCCUGCCUCUGAGUCAGAUCACCUGCUGCCGUUCUCAGAGCUGCGACCGCAGCUGUCCUUCCUCAGAGGUGCUUUACCGCCGCCAGCUGGCCUCAGGGCGGAGCCCUGGUGGGCUUUUCUGUCCACCAACCCCUGGAGGAAUCCUGGCCGCCACUGCUCGUUGCCACGACCCACCUCACUCACGAGGUGAAACCUCCGGCCCCUCUCCUUUCCACCCACUGCCCUCCCUCCUGCACGGCCCCCACAUUUUUGAAGCCUCUUCACCAGAGCUUCGCAGGGACGAGGCCACCAACUCGUGCUGCCCCAGAGCCAAGCUCUGAUAGAAAGCCUGAUAGAAGGAGCUCGUUUCCAAUUAAGCCCGUGACAAAAAGACAAAGCCUGCGCGAUUCCACUCAGCAGAGCGUCUAAGGCGGUCAACACCACAGAAACAGAAAGCAGAAAGGUGGCCGCCCGAGCUGAGGGCAGGGAGAGGGACUCGGGCUUCAGGAGUUAUCAGCUGGCAAGAUGGAAGAGUUCAAGAGACUCUGUGCACAAUAUUAUGAACACGCCUUAUACCUCGGAGCUGGGCACGGAGAGCAGGUUAGGACUAAAACGUGAUGUCAUGUGCCUUUUACAAGAAACGAGGGUGGAUGUGGGCUUCAAGCCACGUGACUCUGAUUUGGCCCUAAUCCAUAAAUAAAUAUCUUCUGUA